AGUGAACGCUGGCGGUAGGCCUAACACAUGCAAGUCGAACGGCAGCACAGUAAGAGCUUGCUCUUACGGGUGGCGAGUGGCGGACGGGUGAGGAAUACAUCGGAAUCUACUUUUUCGUGGGGGAUAACGUAGGGAAACUUACGCUAAUACCUCAUACGACCUACGGGUGAAAGCAGGGGAUCUUCGGACCUUGCCCGAUUGAAUGAGCCGAUGUCGGAUUAGCUAGUUGGCGGGGUAAAGGCCCACCAAGGCGACGAUCCGUAGCUGGUCUGAGAGGAUGAUCAGCAACACUGGAACUGAGACACGGUCCAGACUCCUACGGGAGGCAGCAGUGGGGAAUAUUGGACAAUGGGCGCAAGCCUGAUCCAGCCAUACCGCGUGGGUGAAGAAGGCCUUCGGGUUGUAAAGCCCUUUUGUUGGGAAAGAAAAGCAGCAGGUUAAUACCCCGCUGUUCUGACGGUACCCAAAGAAUAAGCACCGGCUAACUUCGUG
rnacentral:rRNA from 1 species